rnacentral:lncRNA from 1 species
UUAAAAUCUAUAAGAAUCACGCUGGAUGAUGUACAUAGCGACAAUAAUCUUCCUGAGACCACGUAUAACUAAAUUCUAGUAGCAUUUUAUCGUGUUGAAGUUGGUGAACAAGUUAACGUUUCUGAGCAGUGUACUAGUUUUUUGCGACGGUUAUCGUUCCCGCAAAUCCAACGCUGUCUCUGUUUAAAUUUAGACUGUAUGGCAACCCGAAGUGGUGGAAAGUUUAUAGCUUUGAUCUAUUGUAAAUGAAGAUUUAUGUACUGAUAAGAAGAGAAUUACAAAGAUUUAGCAUCCAUCGUUGUCGAUCUUAUCACCAUCCAAACACACAGGACUCAUAUAUAUCGUCUCUCUACCAGUUUGUUACAACAAUUUUAGCUACCUUUUCUAAAACCACACUUUCACUCUUUUGUAAAGCAACGACUAUAAUAGAAAAGACACAAAUUCAACUAGAGGUUCUUAAAGUCUAAUCAUCCUGUUGACUUUGCUUCACUUGUAUUGAUCUCGUCUUCUUUCUCUGCCAAGUCUCUCUUCUUC